rnacentral:rRNA from 1 species
UACGUAGGGUGCAAGCGUUGUCCGGAAUUAUUGGGCGUAAAGAGCUCGUAGGCGGUCUGUUGCGUCGGCUGUGAAAACCCGGGGCUCAACCCCGGGCCUGCAGCCGAUACGGGCAGACUAGAGUUCGGCAGGGGAGACUGGAAUUCCUGGUGUAGUGGUGAAAUGCGCAGAUAUCAGGAGGAACACCGGUGGCGAAGGCGGGUCUCUGGGCCGAUACUGACGCUGAGGAGCGAAAGCGUGGGGAGCGAACAGG